AACGAACGCUGGCGGCAUGCCUAACACAUGCAAGUCGAACGGGAUCCUAGCUUGCUAGGUGAGAGUGGCGGACGGGUGAGUAACACGUGGGAAUCUGCCCUUUGGUCCGGGAUAACCGCGGGAAACUGCGGCUAAUACCGGAUGCCCUCGUGAGAGGAAAGAUUUAUCGCCAGAGGAGGAGCCCGCGUCCGAUUAGGUAGUUGGUGGGGUAAAGGCCUACCAAGCCGACGAUCGGUAGCUGGUCUGAGAGGAUGAUCAGCCACACUGGGACUGAGAUACGGCCCAGACUCCUACGGGAGGCAGCAGUGGGGAAUAUUGGACAAUGGGGGCAACCCUGAUCCAGCAAUGCCGCGUGAGUGAUGAAGGCCUUAGGGUUGUAAAGCUCUUUUGCCAGGGAAGAUGAUGACUGUACCUGGAGAAUAAGCCCCGGCUAACUUCGUGCCAGCCGCCGCAGUAA
rnacentral:rRNA from 1 species